GACGAACCGUGCGAACGUUGUUCGGAAUCACUGGGCUUAAAGGGCGCGUAGGCGGGUCAUCAAGUCAGGGGUGAAAUCCUUCGGCUCAACCGGAGAAGCGCUUCUGAUACUGGUGAUCUCGAGGGAGGUAGGGGCCUGUGGAACUUCCGGUGGAGCGGUGAAAUGCGUAGAUAUCAGGAGGAACACCAAUGGCGAAGGCAGCUCGCUGGGACGGUACUGACGCUGAGACGCGAAAGCGUGGGGAGCAAACAGG
rnacentral:rRNA from 1 species